rnacentral:rRNA from 1 species
GAGUUUGAUCUUGGCUCAGAUUGAACGCUGGCGGCAUGCCUUACACAUGCAAGUCGAACGGCAGCACGGGAGCUUGCUCCUGGUGGCGAGUGGCGAACGGGUGAGUAAUGCAUCGGAACGUAUCCUGGAGUGGGGGAUAACGUAGCGAAAGUUACGCUAAUACCGCAUAUUCUGUGAGCAGGAAAGCGGGGGACCUUCGGGCCUCGCGCUCUUGGAGCGGCCGAUGUCGGAUUAGCUAGUUGGUGGGGUAAAGGCUCACCAAGGCGACGAUCCGUAGCAGGUCUGAGAGGAUGAUCUGCCACACUGGAACUGAGACACGGUCCAGACUCCUACGGGAGGCAGCAGUGGGGAAUUUUGGACAAUGGGGGCAACCCUGAUCCAGCCAUGCCGCGUGAGUGAAGAAGGCCU